CACGUAGGGCGCAAGCGUUGUCCGGAAUUAUUGGGCGUAAAGAGCUCGUAGGCGGUCUGUUGCGUCCGCUGUGAAAACUCGGGCGUACCCGUAACGCUGCAGUGGAUACGGGCUGGCUGGAGGCAGGCAGGGGAGAAUGGAAUUCCCGGUGUAGCGGUGAAAUGCGCAGAUAUCGGGGAGGAACACCGGUGGCGAAGGCGGUUCUCUGGGCCUGUUCUGACGCUGAGGAGCGAAAGCGUGGGGAGCGAACAGG
rnacentral:rRNA from 1 species